rnacentral:rRNA from 1 species
GACGAACGCUGGCGGCGUGCUUAACACAUGCAAGUCGAACGGUGAAGCAGAGCUUGCUCUGUGGAUCAGUGGCGAACGGGUGAGUAACACGUGAGUAACCUGCCCUUGACUCUGGGAUAAGCGUUGGAAACGACGUCUAAUACCGGAUACGAGCUGAGACCGCAUGGUCAUCAGUUGGAAAGAUUUUUUGGUCAAGGAUGGACUCGCGGCCUAUCAGCUUGUUGGUGAGGUAAUGGCUCACCAAGGCGACGACGGGUAGCCGGCCUGAGAGGGUGACCGGCCACACUGGGACUGAGACACGGCCCAGACUCCUACGGGAGGCAGCAGUGGGGAAUAUUGCACAAUGGGCGCAAGCCUGAUGCAGCAACGCCGCGUGAGGGAUGACGGCCUUCGGGUGGUAAACCUCUUUUAGUAGGGAAGAAGCGAAAGUGACGGUACCUGCAGAAAAAGCACCGGCUAACUACGU